rnacentral:rRNA from 1 species
GACGAACGCUGGCGGCGUGCCUAACACAUGCAAGUCAACUUGACGGAAGGAGCAAUCUGACCGUAGAGUGGCGCAAGGGUGCGUAACACGUAAGUAACUUGCCCCAAGGUAAGGAAUAACGUCGAGAAAUCGGCGCUAAUACCUCAUAAUGCAGCGGAUCCGCAUGGAUAUGUUGUUAAAGGUUUACCGCCUUGGGAUAGGCUUGCGUCUGAUUAGCUAGUUGGUGUGGUAACGGCACACCAAGGCUACGAUCAGUAACUGGUCUGAGAGGAUGAUCAGUCACACUGGAACUGAGACACGGUCCAGACUCCUACGGGAGGCAGCAGUGAGGAAUAUUGGGCAAUGCUCGAAAGAGUGACCCAGCAACGCCGCGUGGAGGAUGAAGGCCUGGUUGUAAAGCUCUGUGGGAGGGCGGAAACGGACCGGUAAGAAACGACCGGU